GAUGAACGCUGGCGGCGUGCCUAAUACAUGCAAGUCGAGCGAAUGGAUUAAGAGCUUGCUCUUAUGAAGUUAGCGGCGGACGGGUGAGUAACACGUGGGUAACCUGCACAUAAGACUGGGAUAACUCCGGGAAACCGGGGCUAAUACCGGAUAACAUUUUGAACCGCAUGGUUCGAAAUUGAAAGGCGGCUUCGGCUGUCACUAAUUGAUGCACCCGCGUCGCAUUAGCUAGUUGGUGAGGUAACGGUUCACCAAGGCAACGAUGCGUAGCCGACCUGAGAGGGUGAUCGGCCACACUGGGACUGAGACACGGCCCAGACUCCUACGGGAGGCAGCAGUAGGGAAUCUUCCGCAAUGGACGAAUGUCUGACGGAGCAACGCCGCGUGAGUGAUGAAGGCUUUCGGGUCGUAAAACUCUGUUGUUAGGGAAGAACAAGUGCUAGUUGAAUAAGCUGGCACCUUGACGGUACCUAACCAGAAAGCCACGGCUAACUACGUGCCAGCCGCCGCCGUAA
rnacentral:rRNA from 1 species